rnacentral:rRNA from 1 species
ACUCCGAAAUGCAUCCAGAUUAUUUUAUUUGAUCAUGGCUCAGGACGAACGCUGGCGGCGUGCCUAAUACAUGCAAGUCGAGCGGUCCCUUCGGGGAUAGCGGCGGACGGGUGAGUAACACGUAGGCAACCUGCCUGUAAGACUGGGAUAACUAUCGGAAACGAUAGCUAAGACCGGAUAGCUGGUUCUCUCGCAUGAGAGGAUCAUGAAACACGGGGUAACCUGUGGCUUACAGAUGGGCCUGCGGCGCACUAGCUAGUUGGUAGGGUAACGGCCUACCAAGGGCGACGAUGCGUAGCCGACCUGAGAGGGUGAUCGGCCACACUGGGACUGAGACACGGCCCAGACUCCUACGGGAGGCAGCA